AUGGCUUCCUCUCUCGGUGGUCCGAGGCUCAAAAGUUUUGCGCAACGUCCUGCUAUUGGUACUCGUGGUGGCAUCCUGUUGCUGUGGGACGAAAACUUCCUCGAGGUUAAGGACAUUAGCACUGGAUCCUUUUUCCUGUCCGCUAUAAUCACCAUUGCUUGUAACAACACUUCUUUCAAGUUCACAACCGUCUAUGGGCCAACCCGAAGUAACCUCAAAGACUCUUUUUUCCAGGAGCUGAUCAGCGAGAAGCCAUCCCCUGGUACUAGAUGGCUGCUUGCCGGUGAUUUUAAUCAGAUUUAUUGGGCAAGCGACAAGAAUAGAGCUAACAGUGACCGAAGCCGCAUGACACGCUUUCGCAACACCCUCAAUACUUGUGAGCUCAAAGAAAUACACUUGCAAAACAGGAAAUUCACUUGGAGUAAUGAACAAGGCGCUCCAACGCUAAGCAAACUAGACUAUUUUUCUGCAAUGAAGAGUGGGACAUCGAUUUUGGCAAUCAUUUGCUGCAUGCCCUCUCCUCGUCCCUUUCUGACCACUGCCCUCUCCUACUUGCCAAUGACCAAGGGCCGCUGA
rnacentral:rRNA from 1 species